UAAACUAAUGAAACCUGGUGAGAUAAUUGGAGUAGACAUUACGGGACCUUAACCUAAAUCUAGUAAAGAUGAACGAGCAGAAUUACAAGAUGUCAUACAAAAGGCAAAAUCCAACGUUGAAAAGGCUCAGAAGCGAAAGCAGCAAGCCCUACAACCAUAAGAGAUUCUCAGACGCAUGUAAACGAAAAUUCUCUCGACACUGAAAAAAAUGGUGAUCAUCCUAAGCAGUUGCAGUAAGUGAAAAUGUCGACUACAGAAAACUUGGAGGUCAUUCACCCACAAGAUAAACGACUUCUGCUGGUGUGUCCACUUCUCAUCCUUCAACAGAACCUGCUGAUGACUUACUUGUGUGUCCUCCUCAAAGGACAUUGCAGCCAUAUGGCAGAGUUGAUUAUCGUAGUUAGCUGGUCUUCGAAUUGUGAAACUUCCGUUUAUCUAUGAAUUCCAUCAAGGUAGCAUUGCGUGACUAUACAACCUCCACAGAAGAAACUCCAUAGUUAAGCAGGUGCUAAGAGGUGACAAAUUGUGUUCUAAAAAGAAUGAAUGAUGUGAUUUACAAAAUCCAGAAGAAUAGUUGGACCAAGUCCAGAGGUUAAUCUCUGUGAUUGUCUUUAGAAGUACAGCGAGCUGAACAGGACUAGAAAAGAAUUUGCCAGUGGAAAGUCGGCCUGCUGAAGAGCCUAGGGUACUUGUUGAGACUACCUCCAGAGGAUCACCAAGGAUAGAGCCACUAGUACAUUCGUUAAAACACUAACUUGGGGAAAACUACCCCAAUGACAGGACAUCAAGUUGCAAUAAGGGACAAUAGGUCAUUCCAUUUGUAUACCAUAACCCUUGGAAACAAAAACCACCAUAAAGACUUGGUGAAUAUACAGUUUAGUGUACUGUUUUUCUUUAUACGGUAAAGAGAUUUCACAAUCCAAGGAAAAGGCCGUGUUUUAAACUAUAUUUAAUUAUCUAGAUAUAAGGACAAAUUAUAAAUAAUAGAUGCAGUGAGGUAAUGAGCAGUAUUGAGUAGAGAGAAGUCAAUGAAGUAUUUAGUAAAUAAUCAGGAGUGACUAAGUUCAGAAUUAGUAGUGAAAGUUAUUGUGUCUAUUCAGUUACUCAAUCCCAUUAGUUCUAUAAGUAAGAUAAGUGUAUCUGCAAUUAAUGUCGGAAUUUCUGUUGAAACGUUGUUUGUGAACUUAAGCCUACAUGAGACUGUGGUUAUAGCAAACUUUAUUGUAGAAAUAAAUUAAUACACUAUCGUUACGUGGGCAGGACUUGGCAUUCUUUCUAUCAAUUGAUCCCAAAUAACACGAACGAUAGAAUUUGGAGAUGGAUGUGACUGAGGUGUCCGGUUUUUCUAAAGAUGUGCUAACAGCUCUAAAAGUCUAACUUAUUUCAAAGAUCAGGGGAAAUCAAAUUGUGUCAGUGGUACGUUUAAGGAACUGCAAAGCUGGAAUCCGUGAUUCGAUUCCGUAUGG